UUGAAACGGAACUUUCGCACAGAACGGUCAUGGUCUUGAAAUAUUAUUCUCAAAACUGGAAAUUCAAGUAACCAAACUCACACACAAAAAAAAACAACUACCUACCAGAGUUAUAAACGGUUCCCACAGUCUGCUGGCCAUAAUGAUGAUGAUGGUGAUGGGGCAUUGGCAAGGCGUUAAGCAUAGAGGCAUGCACAAGAUACAAAGCUUCGUGCUCUCUCUCUCGCAGUCUCUCUCUCACUCUCUUUCGCUCUCGCUCUCUCAUUAUCAUCAUCGUUCGUGAAUAUGGCAGAAGCCUACUUGGACUUCGUGCUGCAAAGUGAAGCUCAUUCUCCAACCGACAACGACCACGGGAGGAUAGUUCCGACUUCGCGCUUUAAAGUAUCUAUAAAACCAACAAAAUUAAAAAAGUAUCUUUUACAUGAAAUCUCUAAUCAGUGUUGUCGGUCUCGGUGUCAUUCGGUUGCUUAGUUGCGUACAUCGUAUACAGCGUACACCGACCUUCGUUCAAUAGCCGGAAAGCGGAGCGGAGUGGAACGGCGGACGAACUGUGUCGUCGUUCUCGCCAUCAUCAACUAUAGAGCUUUAAUUCUCCAUCGAACAACAACAACAGCAAAACGAAUUUUAAAAAAAUGUCAAAUGGAGAAAGCUUUUCAGAUAUUAUUCAUGUCUGUGUAGCCCUGCUCUGCUUCUGCUUCAGCUUCGAUUCGACUGGCAGUGGCAGCGGUAAAAGGUAGCAUUGCCAACUAACAUUUUAGUCGUCUGGAAUGUAUCUGGAGCCAAAGACUUUAUUCCUACUCCAUCCGGUGUGGCAGAGUCAAUAUAAAGUGUGUGUGGUUUAUUUUUUAAAUAUUUUGUCUUCUGUGUUUUUUGGUCAUUUUUAUUAAUUGCUGGCGCUUCCCUGCGUGGAGUCGUCGAAGAGUCGUAUAUAUUUUAUACCUACGAUUUGGCUGAGGAUAGAAUUAGAGGCUCAGUCGCUAACUGUCACAAAUUGUGUUAACAACAACCUUCUCAUAUUUCUCACCUUCAAAUAUCAAUUGCAAUAAAUACAAAAUAUAUAAGUGUGAAUACGUAUCUAUGACACUUUAUCGGGAAUGAGAUACGAAUUCAGUCUCGUCGCGAACUUUGCACCAUGACUUUCAGCAGCUUCGCGAAGUCAAACAAGUCUUAGAAAAAAACAGCCUUUUAAAAAAGUGUGAAAGAUAAUGGCUAGUUUUGUGUUAUAUUCUAUUUCAAAUUUUAACAUUAAGGUGUGAACAAGCUUUAAAAAAAAUGACGUAGUGCAUAAAUUUAAAUCUUUGCCAUUCGUCUCUUUUAAUUGCGCAGUUUAAAAAAGAAAAAUAAACUCAAAACAAUUAAUUAACUGAGCUCCAAAGGUGAGAAAAAAAACAAACUCAGUGUACAAAGUGCAAAAUGCAAAAAUAAAAAGUUUAAUCUAUCUAUCUUAAAAAAAGGACACCCAGCAACAAUCUGAAACAAACAAAAUACCAAAAAAAAACAUAAGAUAACAUUUUAAAAUUCACGAGAACAAUUUUGAAAAUAAACAAACGCAACCAAAAAAAAAAUCACCAAAAAGAUAAGAUCCACCAAACAACCCCGAUUUUUAGAUAUUAUACAUCUGCUUGUAUCUAUGAGAUACAACACAAAACACAUCAUCACACAUCUCAACACACAGUCAAGUCAGUGUAUUCGAGUCUAGCCAUCAAAGGUUGUCUUGUCUUCGUCUUCGUUGUCGUAUCUAUCUUAUUGAGAUACAUCCGUCUUCAUACAAGUUCACAUAUAGUCAAAAAUCAAGUGCCAAACAUAAAGAGGGAAACUCCCUAACUUUAUCCGCCGCCGACAGAUAAAAGAUACACUAACAACAAACAAAAAAAAAACUAACUGAAGUUGGAAUUUCAAAAAAAUUAUCUAAAUAAAAUAAACUUUCAAAUAAGAUAGUCUCGAAAAUCCGUAUGUGUCUACAGCAGAACUGUGGCCUUCUUAUCUGCUGGUCUUAAAUUUAAAAAAAAACCAACGCUCUCUCUCGAUGUUCUCAAAAACAUAUCACAAAAGCCUCAAGGGACGGAAGGAAGUGAAAUAAUACAAAAAAUCCAACACAAAAAAAAAAACAAAAAUGGUGGAAUUCGAAUUAAUUUAUAUGAUGCAUAUAUAAGUACAAAACAUAUAAAGCUACACUUAACAAAGUUAACAAGUUACACUCAAACAAAAGAGCCAGAAAAAAAUGAAGAGAAAACACAACUUCCUUAUUGGGAUCCUUUUUGAUUCUCAGAACUUUACAAAAGACGACCAACAACAUCAAAACGAACGAAAGAAAAAAACACAAAAAUGAUGUCUUAGACUAAAAAGGUAAGUACUUACUUUGUAUAUAUGAAGGUACUCCUCGUUCCGGCUCAAGGCUAUAACCAAUAUCCUUGAACAUCAAGAAUUGCAAUCCCAUCAUUAUUCAAUUAAUUUCCUUACAAAACAUUAGCUCACAUAAUUGAAUAAUUGAGAGGAUACAAAUUACUCAGUGGCCUAAUGCUAGUCAGUUGUGUAUGGCAUAUCCUUCCGGGAUCCUAUAUAGAUCCUAGAUCCUAGGAUCCUAUACACUCCUCCUCUGGUAUCUGCUAUCUGGUUUCAUGGUACAUAUUUAUCACCAUUUGUGCAAUUAAAUGCUACUUCUACAAUUCGAAUUCGGUUGGAAGCGUGAUGAGGUUCGGGGUGGUAGCCAGAGGCGUGAGGCGAUAUAUAGUCAAGCAAUGUCUCUCAUUGGGUUCUGCUGAGUUUCUAUACUUAUAUAAAUGAAUAAGCUUGUGACGCGUGAUGCGGGGAAUGUCUGGCUACACACAUUGCCAGAAUAAGCAAGGACCUCAUUCCCCCAAUCCCCUCAUAUGUAUGCAUGUCGACAUCAUAUCUCGGUAGGUAUGUAUAGUUAUAUAGCUUUUCUAGGAUCGUUCCCUGAAUUAUGCAUUUGUAAGUUUAUUAUAGGCCAACUGUUUCGACACAGCUUUAUCGUUCCAGGUUAAAAUUUAUAUAAAUAGGCAAACAUAUGUACAUACUUAUAUAUGGUAGAGAUUGCCUAGGUGUUCAAUUAAAUUAUCGCCCGGACAUGCUCUUCGAGAAUUCCCAAUAAAUUUAUGCGGUCAACCGAUGUUCUGAUAUGGGAGUGAAAUGUACAACCUCCAUAGUUGGUUCGCUUGGCCAGUUUUAUGCUUUCAUGCAAUUGCCACCGCAAUAUAAAGCUAUUUAUGUGUAUAGAACAUACAACACAUGCUCUGCUCAUUCAUUACCGCAUCUAGAUAUGUGUAUGAGUAUCUAGCGAUGAAGCGCAGUCCAUUGGAAAACUCAAUUUUCUCUGCAGCUUCCUCUUUUUCAUCGACUUCAAUAUGGACUCCUCCUUUAUCGCAGUCCUCACAUCAUAGAUCUUUUUUUUUUUUGAAAACCAUCAUUCCCUAUAUACCUACAAGCUACAAAUACAAGCUCGAGCUAGCUAGUGGUACAAAAUAUAUUUAAUUGAAAAUAAUUUCAACUUUGUUCAAACAGCAAACGAUGGAAAGUUUUUUAUCGUUUUUGACGAGUUGCUGUAGGUUUGUAUCGGGAAAUAGGAUGUGUGUUGGUUUUCCCAUCUCUCAUCAUAGAAACACCAGAGAAGCAGGCAAGGAUUUGAGCCUGCAACAAAAACAAAAAGGAUCAAAAAUAAAAAUAAAAUAAAACUUUUUAAGUGCUGUGAGGAGAGACAAAGUAUAGUAGAAAAAAAGAAAAUACAAAACCAAAAAGGAAGUAAAAUAAAACAAACAAAGUCUCCUAAUAGGAUAAUCGAUACAAAAGUUAGAGUCCAAUUAAAUUGGAAUCGUUCUUAUAGUUAGGUCUAUCUGUACAUACUACGUCCCAUCCCAUCCUCCCAUCCUUUCUCACAUCGCGUCGCUCGUCCUUUUUCAUUCUCGUUCAAGUCUAUACUGCGAUGCCUACACGAUGAGACUACGAUGUUGAAGGCAAAAAAGGACUUUUCGAAAAAUAAAGUUUUUGUAUCUUUUAUCAUCAAAUAUUGAAAUAAAACUAACGCCAAAGUUGCUCUUUAUUUGUUUGUUACAAAAUAUUAAGAGAUAGAAAAAGUCCUUCGACGAGCUUCGAUGAUUAUGAUGAUGACUUAAGUCAAUAUUAAAUGUUUCCUGUAUUUUAUAUAACAUCAAAGGGCAUUCCGGAAUGAGUUGUGAAUAUGAAUAUUUGAUGGAAGUUCUUCGCUUUUUGUUUGUUGUUGUUUUCACUUCCGAUUUAAAAUAAGUCUUGAAAUGGGCCCUUGAUUGUUGGUAUGAUAAAUAAGGCAACCUUAAAAGCCUGUAAUAGAUCAAGAUGUAGGGAUGUUGAAAAGGUCUGGUUCUGUUGUGUGUAUAUAUAUUUUUUGAUAUUUGAGUUGAUAGAAAAAGUCAAUUUAGAAAAUAAACUGAUAAUUACCAAUUGAUUUGUUUUGCCUUUGAAGUUUGUCGGAAACAGUAGGGUUUUCAUCUUCUUUUUUUAAGGAGUGAAUUUUUUCAACCCCUGGAGAAAAAGGCAGCCUAUUUUGGUUCUGUUAAUAUCCAAUUUUUAUACGAAACAAGAAAUUUAAGUUUGUAAAUUCAUAAAAGUUAAUGAAAUGAUAGCUUCGGGUUAGGUUUGGAAAGACCAGUGCUUGAUUAAGUGUAAUCAAGCAAAAAAGGAUAAUAGGUUUUUUGGCAGUUACUUAUAUUAUAAAAAUAUAUCCUAUUUUCUUAUAUUUUCGAAAGAGAUAUAGAUCAAAAAAAGAGUAUUUGUUAUUUUUAUAAUUUUCAUUAUAUUUCUUGGCACGUUUUACAUUAAAAAAACAACAAAGAAAACAUGAAAUAAAAAACAUAAGUCGUCUAAUGUAAAUUUGAUUUUAUGUAUGUUUUUAUUUGUGAAUAGGGAUAUGCAUAUUUUUGUGUCUAAAAUUGUGCUUAUCUUUUAAGAAAAAACAAAAAAUCUGUUGUUACUUUUGUGACUCAUGUAACGCUCGCUUAUUAUUAUGAGAUUUCUUGAUAUUUAUUAAGAAUUGUAUUAUGAUUGUGUAAAGUUAACCGAUUAUACGCGUAGAUUUGUUAGUUUAUUUGCAAACAAACAUAAGCAUCAGGAUACGUGACUAAGAAGUAAAUUAUACACAAUCACGUCCUUGUAGGAUAAUAAUUUGGAAGAGAGAGAGGAAAAAUAGAACAGAAUCUUCAAUAAUAGAUAAUAAUAUUAUUAUUCGUAUUUUUGUACGUGAUGAUUUUCUGUCCAAAAAAAUUAUCGAAUUAUUAUAAGAAAUUCAUUAGGGGAAAAAUGAGAGAAAUUUCAUCCAAGAAUUUGAUAUUCCAAGGUCGAAGGCCUUAGGAAAGUGUUACUACUUAGACCAUCAAAUUAGUAACGUUAAGAGCACAGGAUUGUUUUAGUGAAUUUAUACAUAGGGUUCUCCAAAAACAGGUCUAAUUUUUAUAUAUGAAAGGGUGCAAAACGUCACCAUCGACAGACGUAACUUGGAGGUAGUCAAGGACUUCGUCUACCUAGGCUCCACUGUAAACGCAGAAAACAACACCAGCAGUGAAAUCAAACGAAGAAUAACUCUUGCUAACCGCUGUAAACUAAAGGGUUUAUUUCUUAAGAGUAACAUUCUAUGAAUGAUUAUUUCUUUGUUAAGAGAGAGGUAUGCCAUUAACGACGGAAAAAGAUAUCAGCCAAUUACCACCACGAUUACAGUAGGAGCAACAUAGCUUUAACAUACAAUUUUUCA